rnacentral:rRNA from 1 species
UACGGAGGGUGCAAGCGUUGUCCGGAUUUAUUGGGCUUAAAGGGUGCGUAGGCGGUUAAUUAAGUCAGUGGUGAAAUCCUGGAGCUCAACUUCAGAACUGCCAUUGAUACUGGUUGACUUGAGUACAGACGAGGUUGGCGGAAUUGAUGGUGUAGCGGUGAAAUGCAUAGAUACCAUCAAGAACACCGAUUGCGAAGGCAGCUAACUAGGCUGUAACUGACGCUGAGGCACGAAAGUGUGGGGAUCAAACAGG